rnacentral:RNase_P_RNA from 1 species
CAAGUAGCGCAGAUGAUCGCGGGUGCAAGUGCCGAAAGGCCGCACGUGAGGAAAGUCCGGGCUUCAUAGGGCAGGAUGCCGGGUAACACCCGGUGGAGGUGACUCCAAGGCCAGUGCAACAGAAAUAAACCGCCCACAGGCUUACGCCUGUGAGUAAGGGUGGAAAGGCAGCUUAAGAGACUACCGCCGGCAGGGUAACUUGCCGGGCACAUGUAAACCCCAUCCGAAGCAAGACCGAAUUGAAGUAUAUGGUGGCCCGCCAUCGCUUCGGGUAGGUCGCUUGAGUCAGGUGGCAACAUCUGAUCUAGAUAGAUGAUCGUCACGCAGCAUUUGCUGCGACAUAACUCGGCUUAUAGCGCUGCUUGAAUU